rnacentral:rRNA from 1 species
ACGGGUGAGUAACACGUGAGUAACCUGCCCUUAACUCUGGGAUAAGCCUGGGAAACUGGGUCUAAUACCGGAUAUGACUCCUCAUCGCAUGGUGGGGGGUGGAAAGCUUUUUGUGGUUUUGGAUGGACUCGCGGCCUAUCAGCUUGUUGGUGAGGUAAUGGCUCACCAAGGCGACGACGGGUAGCCGGCCUGAGAGGGUGACCGGCCACACUGGGACUGAGACACGGCCCAGACUCCUACGGGAGGCAGCAGUGGGGAAUAUUGCACAAUGGGCGCAAGCCUGAUGCAGCGACGCCGCGUGAGGGAUGACGGCCUUCGGGUUGUAAACCUCUUUCAGUAGGGAAGAAGCGAAAGUGACGGUACCUGCAGAAGAAGCGCCGGCUAACUACGUGCCAGCAGCCGCGGUAAUACGUAGGGCCCAAGCGUUAUCCGGAAUUAUUGGGCGUAAAGAGCUCGUAGGCGGUUUGUCGCGUCUGCCGUGAAAGUCCGGGGCUCAACUCCGGAUCUGCGGUGGGUACGGGCAGACUAGAGUGAUGUAGGGGAGACUGGAAUUCCUGGUGUAGCGGUGAAAUGCGCAGA